ensembl:miRNA
AUGCUGUGUGUCCUCAAGCUGGCUUCCCAGAUGCCGCUGGAGAACACCACGGUUCA